UACGUAGGGGGCGAGCGUUGUCCGGAAUCAUUGGGCGUAAAGCGCGUGUAGGCGGCUCGGUAAGUCCGGUGUGAAACCUUGGGGCUCAACCCCAAGCCUGCACUGGAUACUGUCGAGCUUGAGUCCGGGAGGGGAGAGCGGAAUUCCUAGUGUAGCGGUGAAAUGCGCAGAUAUCAGGAGGAACACCGGUGGCGAAGGCGGUUCUCUGGGCAUGUUCUGACGCUGAGGAGCGAAAGUGUGGGGAGCGAACAGG
rnacentral:rRNA from 1 species